rnacentral:rRNA from 1 species
AUGGCUCACCGUCGUGAUCUGGCUCCAGGAUGGACCUUCAACCCACCGGACCGCGAGCUCACGGAUGUCUACCUCCGCCGCGAGAUCGACGGCCAGCCCAUCGCGGCCAGCUUCAUGCAUCGUCACGUCGACGUCUACUCCGCCGCGCCGGAGAAGCUAGUGGAGAGCCUCCAGCACGCGCCGGGCAUCGGCGAAGCCCAAGGCGAGGAAGACAAACGCGUCUGGUACUUCUUCACCACCCUUCGCCACGCCGGCAAGAACGUGCCCGGCGGCCCCCGUAGGAUGUCGCGCACCAUUGCCGGCGCCGCCGACGGCAAGAAGCGGUGGUGGCACUCGGAGGGUUCCCUGAAGGCGGUGAAAGGAAGCGCGGCCGGCGGGGCGCUGCAGAAAUUGACCUACAAGGUUGAGUCGGCGUCGGGGUCGGGCGGCUGGCUCAUGACCGAGUACAGCAUCCACGGAGCCGGCGACUUGGUUCUCUGCAAGGUCUACAAGACGCCUCGGCGGCCUCGCCUGGCUCGCCGUCCUCGCCUAUCAUCCCCGGCGUCGUCGUUGUCGUCGUCGUCGUCAUCGUGCACGACGACAGCGGCCGAUCUUUCCGGAUGGGGCUGCAAGAGAAAGGCAUCCGGCGACCACCCAGAAGCUCCGCCCACGACGCAGCGGAAAACGCAGGAGGCAUACGUCCAGAUGGAGGAGGAGGUUGAGAGCUACAGCGCGCGACGCCAACCAGAUCAAGAUAACGAGGGCUUCAGCUUCUGCACCGCCUACCGGGCGCCCCAAGGUGACUUCCAUGCUUCAGCUUCAGCUUCCUCGUCGUCUACGAAGAGCGUGUUUUUGGACUUGGACGCCGGAGUUACCGUGGACAUGGUCGCGCCUCAAUCCGCACCAGGCGCUUUCGUCGAGGAGGAUGCCGGACUCGGUUCUGGAGCGGACAGCGUCGACAAGAUCGUGCUCUAUGAAAGCGGAGUGACCGUCGACGACUUGCUAGACGACACGAGCAACGAUGGCUUCCAAGAACCUGCGCCAGCACCACCGUGCCGGAACGAGGUCCUCUCUGCGGCGGCUCCCCCCAGCAACACGAGCCAGAACGAGCUUCUCCAUGCGCCGGCCAGCAACACGGCGGCAUGGAAUCCAACAGAUGGCGGCUGCUACGGAGCGGAAAGCGUUGACAAGAUCGUGCUCUACGAUGGCGAAGUUACCGUCGACGACUUGCUAGACGACACCACGCUUGACGGGAGCAACGAUGACUUCCUCUGUCAAGAUCAAGAACCUCCAGCCGCAUCGCCGUGCCGGAACGAGCUCCUCUCCGUCGCUGUGGCCCGCAACAACACGACAUCACCGCCGGCGCCGAGCCAGAACGAGCUCCUCCAUGCCCCCGCCAGCAAACGACGUGGGAUCCGACGGCUGGCGGUCGCUACGAGUUGUUAUCCACCUACGUUCCUCCUCCCUUCCGCGACGAGGAAGAAGCUGUUGUUGAGUGGCCGGAGGCCGCCGGCGUCGGCACGUCGGACCCAGCACUCGAUCUGUUCUGGGGUACACCCAAUGGUGUGUGCAUGUACUGAGUCUGCUACACGAACAUCAUCAUACGCAUCAUGUAUGUAUUCCAUGUCAAAAACCGUAGUGAAUUAG